UUAACUGAAAAUAUAAACUUUAUUUUCUUUCCAAAGUGUAGCAACCAUAACAACAUCCUCUGCAUUUUUUUUGUUCUUUUUAAUUCUAAUGUCAUAUUUAAAAAAAAAGGUAUAUAAUUAUAACAAUUCCAUUUAUUUACCAUGUUUUCCUAUUCCAUAUUUCACGCAUUACUAAUUUAUUGUCCAUGUCAUAAUUCACUAUCACUUGAUAUAUUCUGUAGAUCACUUGUUAUUAAUAAUUUCUCAGUCACAAUUCACCAUAUUUAGUGACCCUCUAAGUAUUUGACUUUUUCUUGUGAGAGGUGUCAUUGUGCCUGGAGUUUUAAUUCUGGGAGCUUAGGGGACCCAGCCUGUUUAUUUAGUGUAGAACCACGGAACAUAUGCACAAUUUGUAUGACGAAGAGUACGCCUGCAUCCAGGUUAGGUAUUGUAUGAGCUGUAUUCCAGGGUGCAUUGAAAAUAAAUUCUAUGCUGUAUUAUUAUUAUUAUUGGUAUUUAGAUAGCACCAGCAUAUUCCAUAGUGCUUUACAAUAUUAUCAUGUUAUCAGAGGUGAAGACAUAUGUAUACGUGUAACUAUGAAAAUAUUAUUAACAAUCAAACUAUCUGACCCCUGAUCAAUCAGGCUUUUGUCCAAAUUACUCAACUUUGACUGCUCUCUUAAAAGUUUGCAAUUGGCAUGGAGUAAGGAGUUUGCAAUUGGCAUGGAGUAAGGAGACUAAUAUGUUAUUUCCCUUGAUUUUGCCAAGGCCUUUGACACAGUAAACCAUAGCAUUAUUUUGCAAAAACUUAAAAACGAAGGUAUUGGUGAUCGUCUGCUAACCUGGUUUCGAUC